CCAGCAGCUGCGGUAAUUCCAGCUCCAAUAGCGUAUAUUAAAGUUGUUGCAGUUAAAAAGCUCGUAGUUGGAUUUCUGGCAGGAGCGUCCGGUCUCACACUCUGUGCGGGAACUUGGAUGUCUCUGGCCAUCUUUGGGGAUAUCCUGUUUGGCAUUAAGUUGUCGGGCAGGGGAUACCCAUCGUUUACUGUGAAAAAAUUAGAGUGUUUAAAGCAGGCUUAUGCCGUUGAAUAUAUUAGCAUGGAAUAAUAAGAUAUGACCUCGGUCUAUUUUGUUGGUUUGUAUUCCAAGGUAAUGAUUAAUAGGGACAGUUGGGGGUAUUCGUAUUCAAUUGUCAGAGGUGAAAUUCUUGGAUUUAUGGAAGACGAACUACUGCGAAAGCAUUUACCAAGGAUGUUUUCA
rnacentral:rRNA from 1 species